rnacentral:rRNA from 1 species
UAAAUACAACCCUAUGCGGUGGAUCACUUGGCUCGCGAGUCGAUGAAGAGCGCAGCAAACUGCGUGAAUUAAUGUGAUUUGCAGGACACAUUGGUCAUCGAUAUCUUGAACGCAUAUUGCGGUUAUGGAUCGCUUCCAUGACCACGCCUGGCUGAGGGUCGGUAUU